AUGAACGCUGGCGGCGUGCCUAAUACAUGCAAGUCGAGCGAACAGACGAGGAGCUUGCUCCUCUGACGUUAGCGGCGGACGGGUGAGUAACACGUGGAUAACCUACCUAUAAGACUGGGAUAACUUCGGGAAACCGGAGCUAAUACCGGAUAAUAUAUUGAACCGCAUGGUUCAAUAGUUAAAGAAGGUUUUGCUGUCACUUAUAGAUGGAUCCGCGCCGCAUUAGCUAGUUGGUAAGGUAACGGCUUACCAAGGCGACGAUGCGUAGCCGACCUGAGAGGGUGAUCGGCCACACUGGAACUGAGACACGGUCCAGACUCCUACGGGAGGCAGCAGUAGGGAAUCUUCCGCAAUGGGCGAAAGCCUGACGGAGCAACGCCGCGUGAGUGAUGAAGGUCUUCGGAUCGUAAAACUCUGUUAUUAGGGAAGAACAAAUGUGUAAGUAACUAUGCACGUCUUGACGGUACCUAAUCAGAAAGCCACGGCUAACUACGUG
rnacentral:rRNA from 1 species